rnacentral:tRNA from 1 species
UAUAGAGUGCCUGAUUAAAGGAUAAUUUUGAUAGAAUUAAUCAUGUGUUCUCCGCACCUCUAUAA